rnacentral:antisense_RNA from 1 species
AACCGCAGGGACGAUAAGUAAGAGUAAAACGCCGGGUACAAUCAUGGCCAAUGCCCAAACACCCCAAUCGAGAUGAACAUCCAAAAUACUGUUGGCAAAUUCUGCCACGAGCAAAUUCGGUGCCAUCGCCGUGAUGAAGAUAAAACUACUGACUUUCAUCACGAAGUAGAUAUUCGACAUUAAGUAUGAACCGGCUUUUUUGGCUGUUUCGCCGGGUUCUGAACCAAGGGCUUUCACCACGGAAAGAAUAA